AGCUCCGGGGGAACAUCUGCUUCUCCUGGCGCUGCUGAGGCUGCGGCAACAGCAUCACACACUCUGCUGCUGCGUGCUGCUCUUUGAUCGUCCCCAUCUCUCACAAAUGCUUCCUCUUUUGCACCCUUUCCCCCCGCAGCCUUGCCUGAAACCUCUGGAAACUACAACGUCCUGGUUAAUGGCUCGUUCUGGCUCGCUCUUCUCGUUGAAUCAGGUGCUUCAGUCAAUCAAGGUGCAUGUUUGGAGAUCUCUGUUCAGUGGAGAUUCUCCUCUUGCCGGCUUCUGCCCAAACCUGACUCUACCCAUCAGGACUUGACUGUGCCGCUGGCUGUCAAGGGGACAGGGGGGGAGGAUGAAGUGUGUUGGGGAAUGAGGAGUGUGCCUUCUGUGGCACAUUAGUGAUAGCACCCUCUGCUAAACAGCAUGCUGCUGCGAUGUGCUUUGACAUCACUCGGCGUCGAGCUAAAGCUUUUUGAUGCGUUCUUUCCCUACACCCGACAAAAUCCAAAUUUUGGGUCUGCUGCAUCCCCCUCCCUAAAGAGUCCUCAGAGGUGGCUUCCUCCACCGACGUGCAGCCUCAGAGGCUGCGGCUACAGAGGCUGCACGUCGCUCCUCAAGUCUAUGAAAUGCUGCCAAAAACAGAUGCUGGCUGCAACUGAAGAAGGAGACGCGCCGAUCAAACAGAACAAUGGACACCAGCUCACAAUGGUCAGUGCAUAGGCUGAGGGGUGCGAAGUGUGUUUGAGGUUCGGUACACGUCGUCCAUAGCAGCCGGCGUUAGUGUGUGUGUGCGUGUGUGUGUGUGUGGGGGAGAGAGAGAGAGAGAGAGAGAGAGAGAGAGAGAGAGAGGAGGGGACCCGCGACGUAGCAGCUCCGCUCACACUGUCAUCCGACGCUGAUGAGGAGAUGUUGGGAUGCGGGAGCGGAUGCUGGCCGCAGUAUCGUCGCGGCCUCUGUGCGAGGUGAAAGAAGCCCUGUUGUUGUUUUUUUGUUUUUUUUAACAUCACUUUUCUGUGGGUUGGAUCAUCAAGUCAUUUUUUAGGUUUACUCUCAGUCAGUGAAGGCUCAUAACGUUCGGGUUCCUCCCUGGACUCCUGGCUUUUAGUUUGGGUUCACUCCAGAGGUGAUGGCAGAAACUCGCCUUAAUAUACAGAAUGGACUUGAACCAGGGAUGCGGGAUUUAUUCAAAGUUGAUGGCAUGAAUCUGUGGAGUGCAGGCAGAGGCCCAGUCCACACACACACACACACACACACACACACAAUGUGCAGGCCUGCGUCUGAACCUGCAGGUCAUCAGGUCAGCAGAGACAACACACCACCUCCAGCUCUGAGGAUCAGAAGUCGCAGACCGGCUCAGAACGAGGCUUCAUCUCUCCAAAGUUACAGCAGGAAGAGAAGGAGGAGGAGGAGGCAGUGGAGGAGGAAAAGAGAAGCAGAGUGGGUGGAAGGAUGGAAGGAGAGAUGGAUAGAAGCAGUUCGAGGAGGUGGUUCGAAGCGGGUGAACCCAGAGCAGGUGAACACAGCUGUGGAUCGCCAUGGGCUCUCUGGCUGCCUUCCUCCUGUGGGCCCAGUGCUGCAUACAGGGGUCCUGGGGAGCCUGCAGGGGCCAGCCAAAGCUGCGGCAUUGUGGGCAGGCUAGGCCAGCCAAGCCAGGAGAGAGGCAGGUGAGGCGGGUGAGCCGAGCUCUCAUCCCCGCCGGCUAGGAGCCUCCGCGGCAGAGCGGAGCAGCACGGAGCAGCAGAAAUCAAUACAGAGGAGAGAGGCUAGCAGAGGUUGCCCAGCACCGCCUGCAGGCCUCAGAGCCCAGGGACCAACUACCACCACUACUCCCAGCUCCUCUCGCUCCUCUCUCAAUCUCUCUUUCUAGCUUUCUCCAACAGUCCCAGCACCAGCCAGGGCCAGGGCCCUAACCCUGCAACCGCCCCACACGCAGUGUGUGUGUCAGUAGGUGCACAUGUGUUUGUUAAAUAGAGAGGAAAAAGGGAGAGGGAAGAGACAGAGAGAAAGUCUUUGUGUGUGGUUCAGCCAGAGGGUUUUUUGCUGCGUCCAACACCACUUGAUAAAACUUUGUCAGAGAGCCACGGAGACAGCAAGAGAGGGAGGGAGAGUAACGGAAGAGGAAUAAGACAGGACGUCAAAGGUCUCUUUUCUUCCAGCUCCCUCCCUCUUAUUACUCAUUCCACCUUAACUGUUUGAAUAAGGAUCCAUCGGAGACGGUACACAGGACGUUUCUGCUUUGUCCCACUUCCAAGCACGUAGCGCACAAUAUUCCAAAGAUCUCACGAGCCAGGAUGAAAGAACAAUUUGAACUUUUUCUCUCAUCCACUGUAUCAGACACAACCUGUCUUUUCGCCUUAGAUUUUCUUACCCUCACUACAGCAGCUCCCAUCAGAGGAUAUGGCAGUGCAGUAUUGAUCUAUAAGGUGGAAGAGAGGAAGACCGGCCCGGGCUUUCAUACCUCUCUCUCUCUCUCUAUGUGUGUGUGUGUGUGUGUUGAAAUAGCAGCUGAAGUCCACUUACUGCUGUGCAGCAGGGAUCCCAUGGCAGCACAAGUGAAUGGCUGCUAAUUGAAUGAGAAAUGAAAAGGACAGUAGUUGUACCUGUUCAGUCCACCCCCCCAACCUGACUGUUUUAUUUUAUAUCUGACAUUUUUCUUCUCCACGUGUACAAAACUCCUUCUCCACACAAAGAGGCUUGCUUGUCAGAUAUUUUAGCAAAUUGGUGAUGUCUGAAGAAAAAGUCCUCAGGGAAACUGCUAGACACAUCUGGCUGAAAACUGCAGCUUUCAGAGGUCAUACCAAAAACCAUACUGCACUGUACAUAUCUGUGGACUUGGGAGGACAUUAAAGGACAUAUGGAAAGUUUUCGAAGCGUGAAAAUCUACAACAGGAUUCAUACCUCUUGAUGCAGCCAGUCUUGGAUGGCAGCGUAGAGAUGACAAACUUCUGCCUUUGGACCUAACGAAGACCUAACACACUCUGCCUGUUGUCAGUUUCUCUGAACAUGUUUAGCCUCAGCCACUUAUGGAAAACGCAACACAGAAAAGAAGAGUCAGUUAGAGUCUGACACCAUCAGAGUCUGAUUAAUGGUUGUCUAGUCUGCAGUCUUUGUGGAUGUGGACAGGUAAGUUGGAGCCGCUUCUAAAAGGUAAGUUUAGAGGUUGAAUCAAUUUAAGAGCUGUCUGAAGUGUAAAAUGGAAGUGCUGAGCAAUAUUUCCUCAAAUUAGUUUCAUUAGAUAUGGAUUACUAUAUUUGAGACCAAUUUUAGGUCGGAGAUUGGAUGAGACCCCAAGGGGUCCUCCUGUUCACUCAGUAAUUUACAUUCAAGUAUUUGACUAUAAAAUCACUUGACAAGAGUUUGUUGCUGUUGAAUUGCUUUCCCCUUUUCUGUAGGAUGUUAUGUAUUCAAACAUAUUUAACAGUCUUUUCAUAGUGUUAUAAAGUAAUUUAUCACAAAAUGUUAAAUGAGCUUGCCUAAUGCCAAAAGUGUUGCCCUGAUGUGAUAUAUAUUUUCAAUAAAG